UACGUAGGGUGCAAGCGUUAAUCGGAAUUACUGGGCGUAAAGCGUGCGCAGGCGGUUGUGCAAGACAGAUGUGAAAUCCCCGGGCUUAACCUGGGAACUGCAUUUGUGACUGCACGGCUAGAGUGUGUCAGAGGGGGGUAGAAUUCCACGUGUAGCAGUGAAAUGCGUAGAUAUGUGGAGGAAUACCGAUGGCGAAGGCAGCCCCCUGGGGUAACACUGACGCUCAUGCACGAAAGCGUGGGGAGCAAACAGG
rnacentral:rRNA from 1 species